rnacentral:snRNA from 1 species
GGGCGUGAGGGCGAGUUGGCGCCGCAGAACCUGUCACCCCGUGAUCGGCAGCAUUGACUCAGCUGAUCUGGCUGACUGGGGGUGGGGGGUGUCCCGAUCCUCCCUCAUGGCUCUAUGUGUGUCCCUCCCAAAGCUGCACGUUUGGCUGGAGAGGUCUCCCCUCCCCGAUAGAAGAGGACCAUUAUAUGAGUAGCUCUGCUCCCCUGCUAGGACAGCCAACCAAGCUCUCAAGGUCCUUUUAUAGGAGGCCGUAGGUUCAUCAAGCUUCCAAGACUGCUGACACAGCCCAGUGAGGCGCUGCAGGUGGCAUUCUGCCUUCAAAA